ACACUGCCGUUUUCCGACAAAGACAUUAACAGUGAUAGAGGAGAGGGAAGUAGCGCAAAAUCUCCAACGUCCAUGGCUAGUCUCUCAAGCUUAGUGCGCGAACUUCGAGAUAGAAUAGCAGAUUCUUCAUCAACACCUACAAACAAUGGCGACGAUCUCACUCUAGAGAAAAAAUUUCGCGCCGUACUUCCCAGUCUUAUCAGCACAUACGUUGUUGCAUCUCCUUCUGCUAAUAAAAGAGAAGUAAUUGCAGUAUUAAAGCUACUAAAUCAUAUAACGAAGAAUUUUCCUGGGGUUUUUUAUAAUGGAAAAGUUAACGCUGUCUUGCCCGUUAUUGGUCGCCUCUUGCCGUUCUUCGCCGAACCGACAUUUCGGGGCCGACAUGGAGUGAUCCUUGAAACUAUUGGCUCUCUUCUAGCUUUGCUUCGAAGUGGGGAUCGAGAUGCAUAUCGACAAUUUUUCAUGGAUUCCAUGUAUUUAAUUGAAGAUCUUGAGUAUGUAGCAUCAUUGUACCCAAGCAAAUCAAGCAUGAAAAAAUCUGAUAAAGUGUCUUUAAAAUGCUAUUCAAAGUCAUUUGCCGAUAUAUCUGAUGGUGGAGCACUGCUGAGUGAUCUUCCAGAUUGUAAUAAACCUCAAGACGGUUAUGGCAUUUUGAUUGAUCUCACGGUAAAAGAGAGAUGGAAAUUUUUUUCUACUUGGAUAAUUUGGCUCUUAAGUAAAUGCAUGACCGAGGGUACUCUUUAUGUGAAAGGGCUUGUGACCUCUUCUUUUAUUUUGGUUGCAUGCUCCAUGCUUUGUUGUGAAGAUGCCGAUUUGCUUAUGGCAUGUUUUGACCUUGCCCGAGUUGCUGCAACAGUAGUGAAUUAUGAGAUAAUUCCGUAUGAAAAAUUAAUUUAUUCCAUAAUAUAUAUAUUAAGUGAAGCUGAAGGAAAUCUACCAGUAUUCAGAAACUUGGAGUUUGAUUCCACAAUUGGUAGUUGUCUUGAUGCUUUACAUUCAAGGUGUCCCACUGACAUUGUUAGAUUGACAGCUGCUGAAUUAGUUUCUGAGUUCUUUGACUCUUUGACAAAAUCAAAAAGUUCUGAGUUACAGGUUGCCUUGUGUAAUGCAUAUGUCCGGAUCUGUAGAUCUUGUCCUCCUCAUGUCUGGAAACCGGAAGCUCUAUUAAAUAUGAUUUGUUCCUUGAGCACUUGCUCAAUUUUGCAAGAUUGCUUAGAGGUGGCUAUUUUUAUUCUUGGUCCCAAUAGAGUUGGAGGAGGCACCAUUAGUACUACUUCAAGUAACUCAGCCACUCCUGACAAAGGAGCAUAUAGGGUCAGACUAGAGUGUAAAAGAAAAGCAUCAGAUAUAGGAACUUCCAAGUCAAAGCGUCACAAAAUAUAUGGGGAAGAGUUCACAUCUGAUUUUGAUGGGAAGAGACCAGAUGAGUUUGGCCAACUGAAUAUUGAGUCAAUUGAAAAAUAUGCUUCUGAUAUGUGCAAUUCAUUUCUCUCAGCUGUUGAAUUUUUGAAACCUUCAAGUGUUGGUACAAAACCUAUAAGAGACGAACUUGCUCUAGCAACUCUUAGCAUGCUUUGUGUGGUCUUCUGUAAAUACCCGAACACCAACUUAUCAGUACGGAUCUUUGAGCUGAUAUACUCGUGGAUCCCCUGGAUCUGCCAGCAGGCAAAGCAGGAGAAGUCUAUCCAGUUUGACUUGUCAAGCUAUCUGGAAGCAUUACACAAAACUUUGUUGUUGCCAACUCCAUUUUCUGGAAAUGUGGUACGCUUCUGCAGUGACAAUGCAAACAUGGAUCUCAUAUUUUCUGUGCUUGAGCUUCCAUGGACUCAUUCUCUUGAGGUCAUUGAAACCCAUCAGUCUUGGAGAUCAAAGUGCCUUUCUAUUCAAGUAUUGUCCAAGAUUGCUCCUAACUCGGAGCUUCAACUUCAUGUUUUGAAUUUGGGUCUUCUCGAUGAGGUAGAAGAAGUUCGAAUUGAAGCUGUCAUGUCCAUGCCAAUAAUUGCCCUGUCUUCUGGUUUACGUGCAUACUCAACUGUUAUAUCAUGGCUCAAGUUUCUUGAGAAGGAGAGGCAUGAGAAUGUCAGAAAAGUAAUUCCACUUGCUCUAGGCUAUUUAUCAUGCCUGCAGAAAUAUUGUCAUAUUUCCGACAACGGAAGUGAGACUGACUGCAAAAUAUUCUUUGAUAGUGAUGGAAAGCACAACGCCUUGCUUGAUUCUUUGUUGCGCGGCUUUUGGUGUUCAAAGUGUGACAAAGCUGUUUGUGCUGAUUCUUGGAAUUCAUUAGUUAUGCAUGUCCCAGAAAACAUAUGCAUAGAAGACAUUGCUGACAGUGUCUUUAGCUACAUACAUCAAUUGUUCUUUAGUUUUCUUUUUGACGAGUCUUUGGAAGAGGUCCAAGUUUCCUGUAUUGAAGUACUUCACCGAAUUAUCCUACACGCAGAGAGGAAAGUUCUGCUAGAAACAAGAUCUCAAUGGCUCAAAUGUAUAGAAUUCUUUCUCCUUCAUAAAAAGAGAUCUUUGAGGGAAGCAUUCUGUUCCCAAAUUAGCUUUCUCUUGGAUGAAAAUGUGUUAAUGUGUUUGUUUCCUGAAAGGGAUUCACCAAAUACAAGUAAAAGGCAGAUGUUUCUCAGCAUAAUGGAGAAAGCUCUAAAAAAAACUGAAGACCCUCAAAUUGUUGAAACUUUAUUGGAGUCUGCAGCUGAGGUUAUGGUAGCAAUUGAUAUAAAUUGUCAGCUCUUCUUCUCGUCACUUAUUUUGUUAAUUGACAAGCUUGACAGCCCUCAUCUGACUGUUAGAGUGACUGCUGCGAGAUUAAUUAAUCGAUUUUGCUUCUUCCAUGUUCAAGGAGAUUUCAAAUUGCUUCUUUCUAAGUUCAUUCAUAUUCGAAAUAAACUUUUCGAUUAUCUUUGCCUAAGGCUUUUAAGUCAUUCAAGACUGGUAAGGGAGUUCGCUGAGGCUGUUCUUGCUAUUCAGGUCAAAGAACUGGUCCUUGAAAUGAUUCCAGUUGUGCUGCCAAAGGUUGUUGUCUCUCUAAAUAAUAAUGAACAAUCAGUUGCCAUUUUGGAGAAGCUUGCUGAAUAUUUAGACAAAGACAAAGGCGAAGAUGAAGACAAAGGAAUGCUAGUAAUGACUGUCAAAUAUAUACCUAAAGUGUUGGCUUAUGCUCUACAGCAAUCUGAUGACAAACAAUUACUCUCCGCAUUGCAAUUUUACCAUACAGAGACAGGAUCAAACAAGAAAGAAAUUUUUGCUGUUGCAUUAUCCGAAUUGUUGGAAGAUUUGGUGUGCUUUGUGGAUGGAAACGACCCAGAUGAGGUUAGCCCUAGAUUGGAAAAAGUACCACAGAUGAUUGAAGAAGUUGCAAAAAUUCUUACUGAUCGUGAAGAUCUACCUGGAUUUUUGAAGCCUCAUUUUGUUCGCCUUCUUAAUAGCAUUGAUAAGAAAAUGCUGCAUGCAAAGGAUGUCUCAGUCUCUUGGCAGAAGCAAGCUAUUAAAAGAAUCGAAAUGUUGAUAAAAUUUAUGGGUCCUCACCUUAGUACCUAUGUACCAAAACUUAUGGUGCUUCUCAUGCAUGCUAUUGAGGAUGAAUCCCUGCGUAGCGAAGGUCUUUCUGUGCUACAUUUUUUUGUCAAGCAACUGGCAAUUCUGUCCCCAUCUAGUGCCAAGCAUAUAAUAUUUCAAGUGUUUGCUGCUCUCAUCCCAUUUUUAGAGAAAGAAAAGGAUGAGCCUUCUAUGCAUUUAGAUAAAAUUGUUGAUAUCCUGGAAGAGCUUGUGUGUGAAAACAAGGUUGUGCUAAAGCAGCAUAUAUGUGAAUUUCCUAUGCUGCCCAGCAUUCCUGCAUUAAUAAAGGUAAAUCAAGUGAUACAAGAAGCGCGAGGGUCAAUGACUUUGAAGGAUCAAUUGCAAGAUGCUGCUGAGGGCUUGAAUCAUGAAAAUUUAAACGUAAGGUAUAUGGUUGCCUGUGGGCUGAACAAGCUGCUGAACCUUAGGAAGGAAGAUGUGGCAGCAGCAAUUGGUACUGAAAUGGCUUUAGAUAUUACUGCUUUAAGCUCUCUUAUUAUGUCUUUACUUAGAGGAUGUGCUGAGGAAUCACGGACUUCUGUUGGGCAAAGGUUGAAAAUGGUAUGUGCUGACUGUCUUGGAGCUCUAGGUGCUGUUGAUCCUGCUAAGCUAAAGGCAGCAUCGUGUCAAAGAUUUAAGAUCCAGUGCUCUGAUGAUGAUUUGAUUUUCGAAUUGAUCCAUAAGCACCUUGCCAGGGCAUUUAGAGCUGCGCCCAAUAUUACUAUUCAAGACUCUGCUGCAGUGGCUAUACAAGAGCUGUUAAAAGUUGCUGGAGCCUCUGUUGAACAUAAUUUGAAGCUUGAUGCACUGGGGUCCGAAAGCUUUAAUGACUCUCAAGCGAUGAGUGAAAGGGGUCGACGGCUGUGGGACCGUUUUUCUAAUUACGUUAAGGAGAUCAUAGCACCAUGCUUAACUUCCAAAUUCUCUCUUCCGGAUGUAUCAUAUUCUACAUCUUCUGGUGCUAUAUACCGACCUUCGUUGUCAUUCAGGAGAUGGAUCUUUCAAUGGAUAAGAAAACUCAUUGUAGAUGCUACUGGAUCUCGUGCUAGGAUUUUCAAAGCUUGUCGUCGCAUAGUGCGUGAUGAUAUGCAAACAGCAAUAUACCUGCUCCCUUAUUUAGUUCUUCAUGUUGUUUGCCAUGGCUCUGAGUCAGCUCGUUAUAGUGUUACAGAAGAGAUAUUGGCUGUCCUCAAUGCAGCUGCCUCGGAGAAUAGUGGUGCGGCAGUUCAUGCAAUCGGUGGUGGGCAAGGUGAGGUUUGCAUUCAAGCUGUAUUCACUCUUCUGGAUAAUAUUGGGCAGUGGGUUGAUGAUGUGGACCAGGAAAUAGCACUUUCUCAGUCACCUUCAUCUUCGUCUUCUAAACCAGCAUCUAAGUUCAACAACACUGCAGUUGAUAAAGAUCAACUUCGUUUGCAAUGCAAAUAUGUUUCUGAGCUUUUGGAUGCAAUUCCUAGGGUUACUCUGGCUAGGGCUUCCUUUAGGUGUCAGGCUUAUGCUAGAGCACUAAUGUACUUCGAAUCUCAUGUUCGGGGAGAAUCAGGUUCCUUCAAUCCAGCUGGUGAAAUGAAUGGAAACUUUGAGGAUGAAGACGUCUCGUUUUUGAUGAAAAUUUAUAGUGCUAUGGAUGAGCCUGAUGGUCUAUCAGGAUUGGCAAGCUUAAGAAAGUCAGUAAGCUUACAAGAUCAGCUGUUAAUAAAUAAGAAAGCUGGAAACUGGGCAGAGGUCCUAACUUCCUGUGAACAAGCAUUGCAGAUGGAACCCACCUCUGUCCAAAGGCAUUCAGAUGUACUUAACUGCUUACUUAAUAUGUGCCACCUACAGACUAUGAUUACCCAUGUCGAUGGCCUGGUAUCUAGAAUUCCUGAAAACAAGAAAACAUGGUGCAUGCAAGGAGUGCAGGCAGCCUGGAGGCUUGGCAGGUGGGACCUGAUGGAUGAAUAUCUAAAUGGAACUCAUAAGGAAGACUUACAAUGUAGUAUAUCUGAUAGCAGUGCUUCAUUUGAUGUGGAUGUUGCUAAAAUUUUUCAGGCAAUUAUUAAAAAAGACCAGUUCGCAGUUGCUGAGAAAAUUGCGUUAUCAAAGCAGGCUCUGAUUGCUCCAUUAGCUGCUGCUGGCAUGGACUCCUAUGCACGGGCUUAUCCUUUUGUUGUAAAGCUCCAUCUGUUGAAAGAAUUGGAAGAAUUUCAUGAUCUACUUGACGGCCACUCUUUCUUAGAAAAAAGUUUUCAUCUUGGAGACCCAAAGUUCUUGAGAAUCAUAGGAAAUUGGGAGAAUAGGCUAAGAUUCACGCAACCAUCUCUCUGGGCAAGGGAGCCACUUUUAGCAUUCCGGAGACUUGUUUUUGGGGCUAGUGAUCUGGGUGCACAAGUUGGAGACUGCUGGCUGCAAUAUGCUAAACUCUGUCGCUCUGCUGGUCAUUAUGAGACAGCUAAUCUAGCUAUUCUUGAGGCAAAGUCUUCUGGUGCACCUAAUGUACAUGUGGAGAAGGCUAAGCUUCUGUGGAGCAUGAAGCGGUCUGAGGGUGCAAUUGCUGAAUUGCAACAGUCUCUCUUAAACAUGCCCACUGGAGUUGUUGGACCUGCUGCAAUGUCAUCUAUAACUAGCCUUGCUUCGAUUCCACCUCCACAACCGGUCAAUGUUGACUCUCAAGCUCCAAAUGAGAAUCCUGAUAUUGCAAAGACCCUUCUUUUGUACUCAAGAUGGAUCCAUUACACUGGACAAAAGCAGAAAGAAGAUGUUAUGAGCCUGUAUUCCAGGGUGAGGGAACUGCAACCUAAGUGGGAGAACGGGUACUUCUAUGUUGCUAAAUAUUGUGAUGAAGUACUUGUUGAUGCUAAAAAACGUCAGGUGGAGAAUGUUGAGACCAAUUCGAGGAUACCACCUGCUGCUGCUGUUAUCUCAAAUAAUUUGAACACAGAGAAGCCUUGGUGGGUUUAUCUUCCUGAAACACUUCUAUUUUAUGCUAAAGGCCUACACAGAGGUCAUAAGAAUCUUUUCCAAGCCCUUCCAAGAUUGCUGACUCUUUGGUUUGACUUCGGUAGUAAAUAUCAACAAAGUGGCUCUAAAAAUAAGGAUCUAAAGACAGUUCAUGGGAAGGUUUUGAGUAUCAUGCGAGGUUGUUUAAAUGAUUUGCCAACUUAUCAAUGGUUGACUGUUCUGCCACAAUUAGUCUCUAGAAUCUGCCACCAAAAUGAUGAAACUGUUCGACUGGUCAAGCACAUUAUUACGUCUGUACUCCGGCAGUAUCCUCAGCAGGCUUUAUGGCUCAUGGCUGCAGUUUCUAAAUCUGCUGUUCCCAUAAGGAGACAAGCAGUGGCAGAGAUCUUGCAAGCUGCGCGCAAGGGGUCCAAUCCAGACAGUAGUCAUAGUGACUUGUUUUCUCAGUUUGCUAGCCUUAUUGAUCAUCUGAUUAGGUUGUGCUUUCAUGCUGGCCAAUCAAAAGCAAGGAAGAUCAAUAUUCUCACUGAAUUUAGCUCCCUAAAGAGAAUGAUGCCUCUAGGAAUUAUUAUGCCCAUCCAGCAGUCUCUCACUGUUAACUUGCCGACUUGUGAUUCAAAAUUGAAAGACUCAUCUUAUAUCUUUUCGGAUAUUGACCUUCCAACAAUUGUAGGAAUAGCCGAUGAAGCAGAAAUUCUUUCAUCUCUUCAACGUCCCAAAAAAGUUAUUCUUAUUGGAAGCGAUGGCAUCGAGCGUGCAUUCCUUUGUAAACCUAAAGAUGAUCUACGAAAGGAUGCACGUAUGAUGGAAUUCAACGCUAUGAUAAAUCGUCUCCUAUCUAAAUGUGCUGAAAGCCGUCGUAGAAAACUCUAUAUUCGCACUUUUGCUGUUGUUCCUUUAACUGAGGAUUGUGGUAUGGUGGAAUGGGUGCCACACACUCGUGGGCUCCGGCACAUUCUUCAAGAUAUCUACAUAACAUGUGGAAGAUUUGACAGACAGAGGACGAAUCCUCAAAUUAAGCGGAUAUAUGAUCAGUGCCAAGGGAAAAUGCCAGAAGAUGAGAUGUUAAAGACCAAAAUUCUUCCAAUGUUUCCCCCCGUUUUCCACAAAUGGUUUUUAAAUACUUUUGCUGAGCCUGCUGCUUGGUUCAGAGCCAGGGUUGCUUAUGCACACACUACUGCAGUGUGGUCUAUGGUUGGGCAUAUUGUAGGCCUUGGAGAUCGGCAUGGCGAAAACAUUCUUUUUGAUUCCACUACUGGGGACUGUGUGCAUGUUGACUUUAGUUGCUUAUUUGACAAAGGUUUGCUGUUGGAGAAGCCAGAGCUUGUGCCUUUUAGGUUAACUCAGAAUAUGAUUGAUGGAUUGGGCAUUACUGGAUAUGAGGGAAUUUUUCUCAAGGUUUGUGAGAUCACUCUUUCGGUUCUCAGGAGUCACAGGGAGACUUUAAUGAGUGUUCUUGAAACAUUUAUCCACGAUCCUCUUGUUGAGUGGACAAAAUCUCAUAAAUCAAGUGGAGUAGAAGUUCAGAAUCCACACGCCCAGCGUGCUAUCAGUAAUAUUGAAGCAAGACUGCAAGGGAUUGUAGUUGGGGUUGCUGCAGCACCAUCUCUGCCUUUAGCUGUGGAGGGCCAAGCUCGUCGGUUGAUUACCGAGGCAAUUUCUCAUAAAAACCUCGGGAAAAUGUAUAUAUGGUGGAUGCCUUGGUUUUAAUCUCAUUACGAACUCCUUGGCAGUUCCUCUCAUGUCUACUGAUCGUGGAGACUUUUGAUGGUUAAUUCUCUUUUUAUUAAAUGUGAUGUGAUACUCCAUCAUGAUUCAUAUCACAGCCAUCGUAACAUUGUACUGCUAGUUUGCUACAUCGGGAUAACUGAUUCCCCAUACUGAUUUGUGUAAUGUCCUAAAUUUCCUGGGAUACAACCUAGUUCUGUCACGGAGGCUACUUUCUUCAACAUAACCCCUGGCAUGGAGUAUUACACCUUAAAGUAGUUUCUCAGAAAUAUAUGUAUGUACAGGUAAAUGAGUACCACCUUUAGAGGGAGGAUGGCUCUUUGAGAGAAUGAAGCGUCUUGCAAUCUGUGAUUGUUGCAGAAGGUUCAUUUUGUUGCGAAAGCAGGUGACCAAUGUUAUACAAUGACAACUUUUCUUAGACCUAUCUCAGCGGGCAUCAUUUCUCAGUUAUGAAGUGCCAAAUGCCAACUUCAUUCUCAUGCUCUAAUGUUCUCCAAAAGUUUCUGCAUUUUCCUGCAUUCUAAUCAUUGAUCUCGUGAGAAAGAUUAUAUUUAUAGAGGGCUAUACGGGUAAAAUUGCCAACCUGCUUGGAUAACUGCUGAUCGGAAAUAGUGUAAAAGUUGAGUGAAGAUAGUACCUGGCUGCUUGCUUGGAUAACCUCUAUGUCAUGGAACACAAUUGCUGGUGUCUUUGAGCAAUAUUGUACGGUGUGUCGCUAAGGUAACAUGAAAAUUGAGGCAAUACACUUGAAAGGUACUUGGUUCUUUACAAGUAAUCCGUCUUUCCAUUGGGAUUCGUCUUCACAUCGGAAAAGCAACUGGUAAUUGACAUUUGAGGUGUAACCCUAGUCAGGCAGUAUAAACAUUGAAUCGCUGUCCUUGUAGACUGUAAUUUUGAAGAUGGUGCAAUGAGCUAUUCAUGAUUUAUGUGUCAAAUUGUAAUCAGUUAUUUUCAGAUUGAAUAUCACGUCAGGAUGUUUGUCAGUUGCAUUGUUGUAACUAGGAAAAUGAAAUAGGGUUAAACGUUAGUUUACACCUUACCUACGACAAUUCUUGGUUUGACACUCUUAUGUAUGACAAAAGUCUUCAACAGACGCUGAAGGCAACUGGGUGGAAAUGUAGACGUUUGUAGAGGAGAAUUGAGUUUGAGAUUAGCAAAGUGUUGAAACUUGAGAUUGUUUAUUACAAGAGACGUCUAAAGUUUGGACUGGCCCAAUUUAUAAAUUAAAAAAAAAAAAGAAAUAGCUGAAUUUUGUGAUUGUCACACGCUAUUCUUAACUUUUCAACUUUUAUUUUCAGUUUUCAUUUUAUUUUUUUUGACAUAAACCACUCAUGGUCCUCUCUCAAACUCUAUUUGUGGUUUUCAAUCUUCAUCUUUCUCUUAUAAAUUCCAUUGUCGUUUAUUCUCUAUUUAUCUUUUUUUUC